rnacentral:tRNA from 1 species
GGAUAAGUGGUCGAGUGGUUUAAGGCGUUAGUUUUGAAAGCUAAAGUAUUUUUUCAAAUACCGUGGGUUCGAAUCCCACCUUCUCCU